GAUGAACGCUAGCUACAGGCUUAACACAUGCAAGUCGAGGGGCAGCAUUUUAGUUUGCUUGCAAACUAAAGAUGGCGACCGGCGCACGGGUGAGUAACACGUAUCCAACCUGCCGAUAACUCGGGGAUAGCCUUUCGAAAGAAAGAUUAAUAUCCGAUAGUAUAUUAAAACCGCAUGGUUUUACUAUUAAAGAAUUUCGGUUAUCGAUGGGGAUGCGUUCCAUUAGUUUGUUGGCGGGGUAACGGCCCACCAAGACUACGAUGGAUAGGGGUUCUGAGAGGAAGGUCCCCCACAUUGGAACUGAGACACGGUCCAAACUCCUACGGGAGGCAGCAGUGAGGAAUAUUGGUCAAUGGACGAGAGUCUGAGCCAGCCAAGUAGCGUGAAGGAUGACUGCCCUAUGGGUUGUAAACUUCUUUUAUAUGGGAAUAAAGUAUUCCACGUGUGGGAUUUUGUAUGUACCAUAUGAAUAAGGAUCGGCUAACUCCGUGCCAGCAGCCGCGGUAAUACGGAGGAUCCGAGCGUUAUCCGGAUUUAUUGGGUUUAAAGGGAGCGUAGGUGGAUUGUUAAGUCAGUUGUGAAAGUUUGCGGCUCAACCGUAAAAUUGCAGUUGAAACUGGCAGUCUUGAGUACAGUAGAGGUGGGCGGAAUUCGUGGUGUAGCGGUGAAAUGCUUAGAUAUCACGAAGAACUCCGAUUGCGAAGGCAGCUCACUAGACUGCAACUGACACUGAUGCUCGAAAGUGUGGGUAUCAAACAGGAUUAGAUACCCUGGUAGUCCACACAGUAAACGAUGAAUACUCGCUGUUUGCGAUAUACAGUAAGCGGCCAAGCGAAAGCAUUAAGUAUUCCACCUGGGGAGUACGCCGGCAACGGUGAAACUCAAAGGNANNGACGGGGGNCCGCACAAGCNGAGGAACAUGUGGUUUUAAUUCGAUGAUACGCGAGGAACCUUUACCGGGCUUAAAAUGCAAUGAAUAAUCUGGGAAACAGUUAGCCGCAAGCAUUU
rnacentral:rRNA from 1 species